rnacentral:rRNA from 1 species
AUUGAACGCUGGCGGCAGGCCUAACACAUGCAAGUCGAACGAGUGGCGGACGGGUGAGUAAUGUCUGGGAAACUGCCUGAUGGAGGGGGAUAACUACUGGAAACGGUAGCUAAUACCGCAUACCAUCGGAUGUGCCCAGAUGGGAUUAGCUAGUAGGUGGGGUAACGGCUCAUCUAGGCGACGAUCCCUAGCUGGUCUGAGAGGAUGACCAGCCACACUGGACCUACAGCACGGUCCGGACUCCUACGGGAGGCAGCAGUGGGGAAUAUUGCACGAUGGGCGCAAGCCUGAUGCAGCCAUGCCGCGUGUAUGAAGAAGGCCUUCGGGUUGUAAAGUACUUUCAGCGGGGAGGCGUUACCCGCAGAAGAAGCACCGGCUAACUCCGUGCCAGCAGCCGCGGUAAUUC